rnacentral:rRNA from 1 species
UACGAAGGGGGCUAGCGUUGCUCGGAAUCACUGGGCGUAAAGCGCACGUAGGCGGACUCUUAAGUCGGUGGUGAAAUCCUGGAGCUCAACUCCAGAACUGCCUCCGAUACUGCGAGUCUCCGAGUCCGGGAGAGGUGAGUGGAACUGCGAGUGUAGAGGUGAAAUUCGUAGAUAUUCGCAAGAACACCAGUGGCGAAGGCGGCUCACUGGCCCGGUACUGACGCUGAGGCACGAAAGCGUGGGGAGCGAACAGG